rnacentral:rRNA from 1 species
UUAAGCGACUAAGCGUACACGGUGGAUGCCCUGGCAGUCAGAGGCGAUGAAGGACGUGCUAAUCUGCGAAAAGCGCCGGCGAGGUGAUAUGAACCCUUGACCCGGCGAUGUCCGAAUGGGGAAACCCAGUGCAAUCCGUUGCACUAUCGUUAACUGAAUACAUAGGUUAACGAGGCGAACCGGGGGAACUGAAACAUCUAAGUACCCCGAGGAAAAGAAAUCAACCGAGAUUCCCCCAGUAGCGGCGAGCGAACGGGGAGCAGCCCGGAGUCUGAAUCAGCUUGUGUGUUAGUGGAAGCGUCUGGAAAGUCGCAGGGUACAGGGUGAUACUCCCGUACACUAAAACACACAGGCUGUGAACUCGAAGAGUAGGGCGGGACACGUGGUAUCCUGUCUGAAUAUGGGGGGACCAUCCUCCAAGGCUAAAUACUCCUGACUGACCGAUAGUGAACCAGUACCGUGAGGGAAAGGCGAAAAGAACCCCGGCGAGGGGAGUGAAAAAGAACCUGAAACCGUGUACGUACAAGCAGUGGGAGCCUCUUUAUGGGGUGACUGCGUACCUUUUGUAUAAUGGGUCAGCGACUUAUAUUCUGUAGCAAGGUUAACCGUAUAGGGGAGCCGAAGGGAAACCGAGUCUUAACUGGGCGUUAAGUUGCAGGGUAUAGACCCGAAACCCGGUGAUCUAGCCAUGGGCAGGUUGAAGGUUGGGUAACACUAACUGGAGGACCGAACCGACUAAUGUUGAAAAAUUAGCGGAUGACCUGUGGCUGGGGGUGAAAGGCCAAUCAAACCGGGAGAUAGCUGGUUCUCCCCGAAAGCUAUUUAGGUAGCGCCUCGUGAACUCAUCUUCGGGGGUAGAGCACUGUUUCGGCUAGGGGGCCAUCCCGGCUUACCAACCCGAUGCAAACUACGAAUACCGAAGAAUGUUAUCACGGGAGACACACGGCGGGUGCUAACGUCCGUCGUGAAGAGGGAAACAACCCAGACCGCCAGCUAAGGUCCCAAAGUCAUGGUUAAGUGGGAAACGAUGUGGGAAGGCACAGACAGCCAGGAUGUUGGCUUAGAAGCAGCCAUCAUUUAAAGAAAGCGUAAUAGCUCACUGGUCGAGUCGGCCUGCGCGGAAGAUGUAACGGGGCUAAACCAUGCACCGAAGCUGCGGCAGCGACACUAUGUGUUGUUGGGUAGGGGAGCGUUCUGUAAGCCGUUGAAGGUGUGCUGUGAGGCAUGCUGGAGGUAUCAGAAGUGCGAAUGCUGACAUAAGUAACGAUAAAGCGGGUGAAAAGCCCGCUCGCCGGAAGACCAAGGGUUCCUGUCCAACGUUAAUCGGGGCAGGGUGAGUCGACCCCUAAGGCGAGGCCGAAAGGCGUAGUCGAUGGGAAACAGGUUAAUAUUCCUGUACUUGGUGUUACUGCGAAGGGGGGACGGAGAAGGCUAUGUUAGCCGGGCGACGGUUGUCCCGGUUUAAGCAUGUAGGCGGAGGUUCCAGGUAAAUCCGGUACCUUGUUAACGCUGAGGUGUGAUGACGAGGCACUACGGUGCUGAAGUGAUAAAUGCCCUGCUUCCAGGAAAAGCCUCUAAGCAUCAGGUAACACGAAAUCGUACCCCAAACCGACACAGGUGGUCAGGUAGAGAAUACCAAGGCGCUUGAGAGAACUCGGGUGAAGGAACUAGGCAAAAUGGUGCCGUAACUUCGGGAGAAGGCACGCUGAUGUGUAGGUGAAGCCCCUGCGGGUGGAGCUGAAAUCAGUCGAAGAUACCAGCUGGCUGCAACUGUUUAUUAAAAACACAGCACUGUGCAAACACGAAAGUGGACGUAUACGGUGUGACGCCUGCCCGGUGCCGGAAGGUUAAUUGAUGGGGUUAGCGGCAACGCGAAGCUCUUGAUCGAAGCCCCGGUAAACGGCGGCCGUAACUAUAACGGUCCUAAGGUAGCGAAAUUCCUUGUCGGGU